rnacentral:rRNA from 1 species
AUUGAACGCUGGCGGCAUGCUUUACACAUGCAAGUCGAACGGCAGCACGGGAGCUUGCUCCUGGUGGCGAGUGGCGAACGGGUGAGUAAUGCACCGGAACGUACCCAGUAAUGGGGGAUAACACAUCGAAAGAUGUGCUAAUACCGCAUACGCCCUGAGGGGGAAAGCGGGGGAUCGAAAGACCUCGCGUUAUUGGAGCGGCCGAUGCCGGAUUAGCUAGUUGGUGGGGUAAAGGCUCACCAAGGCGACGAUCCGUAGCUGGUCUGAGAGGACGACCAGCCACACAGGGACUGAGACACGGCCCAGACUCCUACGGGAGGCAGCAGUGGGGAAUUUUGGACAAUGGGCGAAAGCCUGAUCCAGCCAUGCCGCGUGAGUGAAGAAGGCCUUCGGGUUGUAAACCGCUUUUGUCAGGGAAGAAACGCUCUGGGCUAAUACCCCGGGGUAAUGACGGUACCUGAAGAAUAAGCACCGGCUAACUACGUGCCAGCCGCCGCCGUAA